rnacentral:rRNA from 1 species
UACGAAGGGGGCUAGCGUUGCUCGGAAUUACUGGGCGUAAAGCGCACGUAGGCGGAUCUUUAAGUCAGGGGUGAAAUCCUGGAGCUCAACUCCAGAACUGCCUUUGAUACUGAGGACCUUGAGUUCGGGAGAGGUGAGUGGAACUGCGAGUGUAGAGGUGAAAUUCGUAGAUAUUCGCAAGAACACCAGUGGCGAAGGCGGCUCACUGGCCCGGUACUGACGCUGAGGUGCGAAAGCGUGGGAGCAA